AUCGGUCAAUUUCUUCUUGAAUGGUAGCCCCUCAGCUUCAAAUUUAGAGCAAGCUGCAUUAAUAUUGUCAACGGAAAUACAAACAUGACCAUAACCCUUUUCAUCGCCGUCAUUGCCAUUAUGGUAAACGGGUCCUGACUCCUUUUCAGUACCCCAGUUAUGAGUCAAUUCAAGUAAUCCCUCACGAUCAUGUCUGGGCAAGUCGCUAGGAUAGGCCAAGAAAUAAUUGGUGAACUUACCAUUGGGAUGAUCCGCUUUGUCAAUUACCUUCAUUCCAAGUUUCUCAUAAAAGGCGAUACUAGGUUCGGGAUCCUUAACACGGACCAUUGUAUGAUUAAAACGAAAGUUAGAAAUAUUAGCUUUGGGCUUAGUUUCAGAUUGAGAAACAAGCUCAAUCCAGUAAUUGUCAGGAUCCAAGGCAAAAGCGAUGUGUUUCAUCUUACCAUCGGAAAGCUUUUUCUUAAAAGAAACCCCCUUGGAUUCCAAAUAUGCGCAAGCAGAUUCAAUGUUAUCAACAGUAAAGCAGAUGUGUCCAAAUCCUCUCUUAGGCUCGGUAUUACCAUUGAUAUAAACAGGGCCUUCCUUCUUCUCAGUGCCAAAGUUAUAAGUCAGUUCCAAUAUACCUUCACGCUUACUACGUUCCACUCCGUGAUUUAGAGCUCCAGGUCCAUCGAAAGCUAAAAACGACAAAGAGAAUUCAUUUUCCUCGAAAACCCAUUGAUCAAUGAGUUUCAUACCAAACACCUCGGUAUAAAAUUUGAGACUCUUGUCGAGGUCUUUCACACGAAUCAUAGUGUGAUUUAGUUUGUAAGUACUCAUGUCAGUAGUAGAAGCCAUAUUCGUAAAGAAGAUACCCGUUAAGUUGUAAAUUUAUAUAUAUAAACUUAUAGCAACGUUGUUGACGAGGAUGAAUCAAAAAACUGAAUAUAAACAGCAAAAAGAUUGAUG